AUACGUAGGGGGCGAGCGUUGUCCGGAAUGACUGGGCGUAAAGGGCGUGUAGGCGGCCUGAUAAGUCUGGAGUGAAAGUCCUGCUUUCAAGGUGGGAAUUGCUUUGGAGACUGUCGGGCUUGAGUGCGGAAGAGGUAAGUGGAAUUCCCAGUGUAGCGGUGAAAUGCGUAGAGAUUGGGAGGAACACCAGUGGCGAAGGCGGAGUACCGGGCCGUAACUGACGCGGAGGCGCGAAAGCGUGGGGAGCGAACAGGAAUAGAUACCCCGGUAGUCCACGCGGGAAAAGAUGAAUGCUAGGGGGAGGGGGUAUCGACCCCGCCUGUGCCGGAGUAAACACAAUAGCAAUCCGCCUGGGGAGUUAGGGCGCAAGGUUGAAACUCAAAGGAAUUGACGGGG
rnacentral:rRNA from 1 species